rnacentral:lncRNA from 1 species
GGCGUAACCGUCAUCCGGUGCAGCCCGGCCCGGAGGGGGAUGGCUCGGGACUCCCACGUGGCCCCUGUGGGUGUGGUCGCGAGGUGUCUGUAGCAGGUGGAGGUGCGUCACUGGAUAGGCUGGAGGACCGAUCUUGUGUGGAGUACCUUCGUUUAUCCCGGAGUGGCAGUCCUCACUGCUCAGUCGCCCACGUGAGACUCAAGUAUUCGCAAAACAUCAAUUACAGUACAUGGCAAACACAGACCCCACGGUUUAGCAGAGAAGGCCCUUGGUGAUCUGGCGCUGACAGCGGUCAGUGCACUUCUUCACCUGGCUUUGGAAGAGGCCAGCUCACUUUGAGCUGCUCUGAGAGCCCUUCUAACACUGUUUAAGGGAUCAAACUCAGGACCUUGGACUUGCAAGGCAGGCAGCACAGCCACUGAGCUAAAUCCCCGGCCCUAUUUAUUUACUUUUGAGACAAGGUCUCACUAUGCAGCUCAGGCUGGCCUCAAACUCACAGUGAUCCU